UACAGAGGUCCCAAGCGUUGUUCGGAUUCACUGGGCGUAAAGGGUGCGUAGGCGGUCGGGCAAGUCUGCUGUGAAAUCUCACAGCUUAACUGUGAAACUGCAUUGGAUACUAUCCGGCUCGAGGAAUGGAGGGGAGACUGGAAUACUUGGUGUAGCAGUGAAAUGCGUAGAUAUCAAGUGGAACACCAGUGGCGAAGGCGAGUCUCUGGACAUUUCCUGACGCUGAGGCACGAAAGCCAGGGGAGCAAACGGG
rnacentral:rRNA from 1 species